rnacentral:ncRNA from 1 species
GCCUUUGCAGCUGGAGACAGCAAGUUGAGCGACUCAAAACAACAUCAGCCCUAUGCAAGUCGGUGCUCCCAUGCACUGGCGACACUUUCGAAUUGACGGGGAACCCCUAAAGCCCUUCACACCAAGCCAGCCUGGGAAACCUUCUGGUGGCCUGUCCUAACGUACAGGGUAUGGUAAUAGAGGAAGGGAUGAUCUGGAGGCCGCAGCGGCCUUCAGUGAAAUGGGCAAUCCGCAGCGAAGCCCCUACCGUCCCCCCGGGGAUAUGGGGAACGUCCACAGACUAAGUGGAAGUGGGUGGGACCUUGGUCCUGCUUAAGAUAUAGUCGGGCCCCCAGGGAAACUUGGGGGAGACCAAACCGUUCCGUAGGUGAACCUUCGGAAGGAUCAUUA